UCAAACCUGUCAUCACCUCCACUGGUAAUAAUUACUUUCUAAUUUUUCUUGCUCGUGUUGUCAUGAUCAUGCGUUGAACAUAUAUAUAAUCACGCAGGAUCAGAUGUUUUGCUUAAACAAGUUCCUUUAAUUUAAUAGGGUUGGAUAUAGUUAAGUAAUUAAUUACCUUUUUCGACUUGAUCAUAGUGAUCACUCGUACGUAUUCUAUCAAAGCUGUCAUGCAAAACAGAUCAAGCUGAUAGAAGCCCAUCUUUAAAACAGUAAUGAACUAUAAUUAGAAGAUUUUGGAUUUUCGCCUUACUUUGCUUUGUGACCAAGCUUCUUCGCCUAAUUUUAGUUUGCUUCAUGAUCACGUUUUUGCGUUUAAUUUUAUUCACUAUCCAUAUAUAAAAUUAUGACCUAAGACGGAUAUGUCAAGUUUAAGGUUUUUGUAUGUGCAUGGUUUUUUUUUUUUUUUGGCCCAAAAAAAAAAAUGAUACAAUCGAAAGCGUAAUCUAGUGAGACUGUAGACUUCUACGCGCCUACUAAUAUUUGGGGAGCAUAUCCACUUUACUCAAAACAUGUAAGAGAAGUCAUACAGAUUUCUAGUCCUUAAGAGGGAUUUCAAUCUUUUUGUUGAUAGAGCGGCUUACAAGUCUUGCUAUAUAUGCCCUUGAAGUGACUGUGCAUGGUCACUGCGGGAGAUUUUUCUAAUCAUAAACUUUAAUCUGUGGUAAUUUAAACGGCUAAUUAAUACUUAUAAUUUUCAUGCAGUUUGGAAUGAAUUAGAGAAAGAAAACAAAGAGUUCUUCGAGGCAUACGCUCAAUCUCAAAGCAAAGAAGAUCGAAUGUCCGAGGAAGAGACGAGUCAAAUGAUCCAGAAGAUGAUCUCCACUAAUUCCUCCAAUUCUCAAAACGACGACGACCAAGAUUAAACUUAAUUCCCCUAGCGAAGAACUCUUUGAAAACAAUAUAUAGGUAUAGAUAUAUAUAUAUGUAUGUAUAUAUCCUCUCUCGCUCUCAAAUAAUUAAUUUAGCCAAAAUAGUAACAACUCUCGCCAAUGUUGGUCCCUUUAGCUCAAGCUUAGUGUUAUACUUAUAUUGAACCAAUCAAACAAAAGGGUCAUCCUGUAAUUCCGAAUUGACAUCAAUGUGGUGAAAUUUGAUUGGAUGUGCGGAUUGUGUUCAUAGGAAGCUAUUUGUGCGUUUAUAUGAACAUGCUUUGGUUGGUAUGGUGAUGCGAUGCUAAUGACACCUGGAAUCUUCCUGUUGCGUUGUGGUACAAGGUUAUAUUUGUCUUUGUGUUGGGUAAGUGGACAGAGAAUGGCAUGUGAUGUUAUUAGUCAUUUGGUCAUUCAGCAAGUGUUAAUAGUAAAUGAAGCAAAAUAUAGUGGUGUGGGGACUCAGCAUCUUUGUGUUUGCUAUAUAUAUCGUCGCAAUCAUGUACUUUUGCUUUUAGCAAUUGAUGAAGGCGAUGCUAAUUACCGGUUUUAAUUGUGUAAGCCGUUCGUCGAGUAUCAUCUUGUAAAUUUCUUACCAGCUUUUAAUUCAUACGGUGAAAUGUGUGUCGCUGGACGAUAGUCGAGGACUAAAAGGAAUUAACUUUCUUGUAAAUUACUUAUCAACUUUCAUUUCAUACACCAACAAAGUAUUGGCUCCACUUGCAAUGGAGUCCCCUUAAGUGAUUUGACUGGAUUUGCUUCUCAGUUCGAGUCGUAGGAAAGUCGUCUUUGUUGGGAGAACCUGUGCCUCUCGGUUCGAGCUGGAACUUCUAGUCUGGGUUGUGGUACGGGCUUAAAGGUGCCUCCCACAGUUGGGGCCCUUCUCAGAAUACCUCGUGGUUAAAAAAAAAAAAAAAAAACUUUCAUUUCAUACGGUGAAAUGUGUUUCAUUGGACGAUAAUCGAGGAUUAAAAGGAAUAAUUUUCUUGUAAAUUUUUUAUCAGCUUUCCCUUCAUAUGGAAAAAUGUGUUUUAUUGAAUGAUAGUCAAGGAUUAAAAGGAAUUAACUAAAGAUUGAUGAAUGACUACUCUUGGGGAAAGUCUUGGGUGGUACUCGACAUCGUUACAUUGGCAAAUCUUGCGCUAUGCCAUUAACUUACCCCAAUGAUAUCAAAAAUACCAAAAACCAAAAUUUUAAGAUUUGAUGCACUUAGUCAUAUUUUGUAUAUGUUAUAUAAAUAUUAUCUAUUUCAAAUUUUAAUAUUGAAUCUACUGUAGCACUUUGGUAAAUUCUGCAUUUGCGCCAUUAAUUUGGUGAAUCGCAUUUUGAGUUUGAAUCCCGGUAGUGUAAUUAAUUUUCAAUUUGGUAUUUUGGAAGCCCAAUGUUAUCAAAAGUACCAAAAACCAAAAAUUUUAAGAUUUAAUACACUUAUUCAAUUUCUGUCUUUGUUAUAUAAGUAAUAUAUGUUUCAGAUUUUAACAUUGAAUCCACCAUGGCAUUUUGGCAAAUUUUGCAUUUGCACCAUUAAUUUGGUGAAUUGAAUUUUAAGUUGGAAUCCCGACAGUGGAAUUAAUUUACAAUUUAGUCAGCUUCUGUAUUUGUAAUGUAAUAACACCCUGAAAGGAACAUGUCUUCUCUCUCAUCAGUUUUCUCUCCCUGAGAAAGCUUAGAGAAUAAAAGUUAUAAUUGAGCCUUUAUGGCUCGUUGAAUCGCUCUUAUUGAGUGUUCUUUUUCUUUAAAACCAUACUUAAUAAUAGUUUAGUGGUUUUCACUCUUUCUUAAUUUUUUUUCAAAGCAUCUAAGGAAUGGAAAUGUCGUCCAAAUACACAACCACAAAACGGUUGAGGAAUGGUUAUAGCACCUUGUUCAUGAGUGUGUAAAAUGUGGAGGGUGCAUUAGUGAGGCCAAAAGGCAUGACAAGGAAUUCGAAAGACCCGUACUUUGUUGUGCACGUUGUCUUUGGUUCGUCUCCCUUGGCGAUGCGCACUUGAUAAUACCCGGAGCGCAAGUCGAGUUUAGUAAAGUACCGCGCCUUGCCAAGCUGGUCGAACAAGUCUGUGAUUAAAGGAAUCAGAUACUUGUUCUUAAUGAUGAUCUUGUUGAGCGCUCUAUAGUCGAUGCACAUCCGCAACGAUCCAUCAUUUUUCUUUUGGAAGAUGACCAAUGCACCGAAUGAGGCCUUUGAGGGGCGAAUGUAGCCUGCGUUCAGCAAGUCUUUAAGUUGUCUCCGCAACUCCUCAAGUUCGGGUGGCGCCAUGCGGUAGGGCGCCAAGGCUGGUGGCUUCGCACCUUGUUCCAAUUCGAUCGCAUGGUCUACCUCUCGUCGAGGUGGGAGCUUCUUCAGAAGUUCAAGAGGCAUCACGUUCUUGUAUUCGUUGAGGACGGUUUGUAUUUGCGGAAGGACUUGGCUUGGCGAUUUUCUGCAAUCUCCUUCCUCGUUUAAUUCCCAGAUGGAGACCAAGAAGUUUGGGUCCUUCUUGAAAGCCCUUUUGAAUUGCAUGGCGGAGAGUGUCUUCUCUUCGGACUUGCCUCGUUUCGUAGGAACCAUGCAUGCUUUGCUUCUGUCGAUGAUGCUUAGGGAGUUCGUAACGGGCAGCGGGAAGGCAUGGACUUGGUCGAAGAAUUCCAUGCCGAGGACCAGCUUGAAGUCAUCUAUGGGAACAAUAGAGAAGUCAAGCUUUUCGCUCCAUGUUCCAAGCGUCGUGUGCACGCCUUGUGCGAUACCCACAAUGGGCUUGGCGGGCCAGUUUACUGCCUUCAUCGUGCCUUCUUCCUAAGCACUUGGCCUGACCUACGGACACAAAGUUUUGUGUUGCUCCCGUGUCUACUAGCGCGCGAACAGACUGACCGUUUAUCUUCGCGCUCACUUACAUGAGCCAUUUUUUAGUGAAUGUGGGCUGUUGGCGAUGGAGUGCGCCGAGACGUUGGAGAGAACCCAUGCUAAGUUGUGGUUCUUCUGUGAACAUUGUGGGGUUGCUCUUGAGUUGAGUAGCAAGAGCGUUGAGCGACUUCUUCUCCGGACAGUUGCGUACCUAAUGAGAACCGUUGCAUAUAAAGCAUGGGCUUCGUGGCUUUGGCGCCUCCUUUUUGUUGUCCUACAAUUUUCCUUGCCCGCUCUUGUUGCUAAGAGACUUUUUCUGCCCCUAGUCUUUGCAGUUGUUGCCCUUGUCCUUGUAACUCUCUCCCCCACCUUUGCCUUGGUUGACCUUUUUGUCUUUAGAUUGGGUAGAGUACUCGGUGAGCAAUUCUGUAACGACGAUGGCGUCAUCAAGUGUUUGAACACCCCGCUUAUCAAGCUCGGUCUUGGCUCAAUCCUUGAAGCCAUCUUGGAAGUAGAAGAGUGAGUUCUUGUCAGACAUGUCGCUUAUCUCCAACAUGAGGGUAGUGAACUCGUUGUUCUAGUCACGAAUACUACCCAAUUGUUUAAGGCGACGUAGGUGCGCUGGCGCUUCUUUCUCCACAUUGCUUGGGGCGAACUGUUUUCGGAUUUCUUGCUUGAAGUCAGCCCAAGUAUCAAUGGUGCAAAUGCUUUUGCCCAUAUAUAUAAUCACGCAGGAUCAGAUGUUUUGCUUAAACAAGUUCCUUUAAUUUAAUAGGGUUGGAUAUCGUUAAGUAAUCAAUUACCUUUUUCGACUUUAUCAUAGUGAUCACUCGUACGUAUUCUAUCAAAGCUGUCAUGCAAAACAGAUCAAGCUGAUAGAAGCCCAUCUUUAAAACAGUAAUGAACUAUAAUUAGAAGAUUUUGGAUUUUCGCCUUACUUUGCUUUGUGACCAAGCUUCUUCGCCUAAUUUUAGUUUGCUUCAUGAUCACGUUUUUGCGUUUAAUUUUAUUCACUAUCCAUAUAUAAAAUUAUGACCUAAGACGGAUAUGUCAAGUUUAAGGUUUUUGUAUGUGCAUGGUUUUUUUUUUUUUGGCCCAAAAAAAAAAAUGAUACAAUCGAAAGCGUAAUCUAAUGAGACUGUAGACUUCUACGCGCCUACUAAUAUUUGGGGAGCAUAUCCACUUUACUCAAAACAUGUAAGAGAAGUCAUACAGAUUUCUAGUCCUUAAGAGGGAUUUCAAUCUUUUUGUUGAUAGAGCGGCUUACCAGUCUUGCUAUAUAUGCCCUUGAAGUGACUGUGCAUGG
rnacentral:lncRNA from 1 species